UGAUACCUAGAAAUCUUUUCUCUUAUUUAUUUAUUUAUAGAUUUAGUCAUCAAAAGGAAUGAUAGUAACCAGCUUUUCUAAACCAGUUAAAUUUAGUCAGUUCAGAAAAUGCUUAAGAAUUAAGGAGCAAGAAUGAAAAGAAGUGAAAAAUUGUUUCAUGCCUUUUUAAAAGGCAAUUUAAGGAUUUUGCUUUUGUUGUAUAAUGAAGAUAAACCGCUCUUCUGUUUCUUUUGAGAUUUAUACUGGAUUUUAAUAUUAAUAAGUCAAGUGUUUGACUUAUUAAGGAAACCCUCAUGUUUUAAAUACAUUUACAUUUAAGUAUCAGUUGAGGUUUAGAACAGUUCUUAACUUAAUUUUCAAGAUUAUGUCAGACUAUUCCCAGAAGAAGAAAUGAAACUGAUGCGCAGAUAUAAAGAAAUGUUCAGCGUUGCUGGUAAUAAGAGAAAUGUAAAGUUAAAAGAGCAGUUACAAAAGAUUUAAAAAAUAAAACACAGUAGUCAUAAGGCUAUUGUGAAAUGGGCACUCUUAUUACUGAUGACUGUGAAAAGCAGUUCAACCCUUUGGGAAAGCAUUUUUACUAUAUGCAUCAGAAACCUUUAAAAAUCUCACAUGCCUUGACAUUUUGAUUCUGGGAAGUUUAUUCUAAGGAUAAAAUAUUAAGAAAAGAGAAAAUGAUAGAAAAGAGGAAAGAUAUUUAAUAGCUUAUAACUUAUAAUAGUAAAACAUUAGAAAUAGCUUAAAUGUCUAACAAUAGAAAAAUGGUUAAGUAAAUUGUGGUUCAUAGCAUUGGAAUGUUGUACAGUUGGUUGUGUUAUGUUUAUUACUUUACUACCUGUAUGACCUUGAACCUGUUAAUUAACCUUUUAGUACCUCAACUUUUCCUUGGUAAAUGGGAAUAAUCUCUUAGGUUAUUCAGAGUAUUAGAAUAGUUAAUACUGGUAAAUAAUAAGGAUGCAGUAAAUUUUAACAGUUAGUUAUUAUUUAAAAAGUUUACAGUAAUGAAUGAAAAGUAUUUAUAAUGCAAAAAGAGGAUAUAAAACUCUAUGGUAUGGCAUAGGUAUGCAAAAAACCUAAAAUAGAAAAUCCAUUAUUUUCUAUUUAGAAACUGUACCUAAGGGAAAAUUUUGGAAAGAAAUACAAAAAAAUAUUCAUAUGGUUGUCUGUAGAUAAAAUAGUUUUUCUUCUAACAUGAUUUUCUGAAUUAUCUAGAUUUUUUUAUAAGUGAAAAAAGAAACCAAUAAACUUCAUUUUAAUAUUAAGUUGGGGAUUACACAACCCUGCUGAAUUACUAAAAAUAUUGAAUUGUACACUUUAGAUGGGUGAAUUGUAUGGUAUGUGAUUAUGUCUCAAUGAAGCUUUUUAAAAAAAGAAAAAUAAUUAAGUUGAAAAACCUGAGAACUCCUUAACAGCCUAUUUGGAAAAUAGUUAUUUCAGCAUUAAAUUGUCUUCAAGUUUAACUAUUUUGCUUAAGUUAAUGUGUUUUGAGACACAGAGUGUGUUUAAUUAUUUAAAAACUUUCUCUUUGACCCACAUUCUUAAAUGGCUGCAGGAAACCCAAGGACCAAAUAAGGUCCAGCUUAAAAAACGUGUCUGAUCUUUUUGUGAUGGGAGGAGCUCUUGUUUUAGAAUCUGCAGCUCUCUUGCACUGGCUAGAGAGGGAGGGUUAUGGACCUCUAGGAAUGACCGGAAUAUCCAUGGGAGGACACAUGGCUUCCUUAGCAGUAUCCAGCUGGCCUAAGCCCAUGCCACUGAUUCCAUGUCUGUCUUGGUCCACAGCAUCUGGGGUCUUCACUACGGGCGUGCUAAGUAAAUCGAUUAAUUGGAGGGAGCUAGAAAAGCAGUAUUAUACACAGACAGUUUAUGAAGAAGAAAUUAUUCACAUGCUUGAAUAUUGUGGAACAGAUUCUUUCAAAAUGGGACAAGAGUUCCUGAAACACUUCCCUAGCAGUGCAGACAAGCUAACUAACCUUAACCUGGUUUCUAGAACUUUAAAUUUAGAUAUGGCGGACCAAGUUGUGUCCCAAAAAGCUGCUGAGUGCCAUAAAUCUAGUAAAACAUCUAUCAGUGCCACAUCAGAAGGACUCUUGUUGCAAGAUACCUCUAGGAUGGGGUGCUUCAAUCAAACACUUUCAACCAACAAAAGUAGUUAUACGCGCUGUAAUCCUCAGUCAUACCACCUACUCAGUAAAGAACAAAGAAGAAACACUCUUCAGAAAGAACCUUUAAUAUUUAUGAAAGGAGUUAUGGAUGAAUGUACUCAUGUAGCAAAUUUCUCAGUUCCAGUUGACCCAAGCCUCAUCAUAGUGGUUCAAGCCAAAGAAGAUGCCUAUAUUCCACGAACAGGAGUUCGAAGUCUACAAGAAAUUUGGCCUGGUUGUGAAAUCCGAUAUCUAGAAGGGGGUCAUAUUAGUGCUUAUCUUUUUAAACAAGGACUCUUCAGGUAAGAUGAUUGGUCUAACAGGUGUCUAUUUAUUUGUUGUUUGUUUUGGGGACUUUUUUGGCUCAACAAAUAUAAAGAUUGGGUAUUUUUAUUAUACAUUUUAGCCUUCUUAUUUCCUUCGUGCCUCUCUCAAUUCUCACACUGUGAUACUCUUUCCUAUCUUGUCUUUUUAUUUUCUUUUCCUUCUAGAGAACUAGGAAAUAGCAUAUGAUAGGCAUGCUUUGUUGUGUGGUUAUACCCUCUUCAGGUAUUAAUAGCCAGGUGUUUUAGGGUGUAGGGAGGAACAUUAGCGUUUGCAAAACUCGCUUUAGCUCAUCGUGAACUUUUCACUCCACUCUGAUGUUCUUCUCUCAGAAUGACCUGAGUAUCUGUGGAAUAAUGUAGCAAUGUUUUUCAGUAGCAGGUGAAUAUUGAACCCUAAAAGAGAAGUGAAAUACUGGUUUUAUUGUUAAUAACCUUGUACGACUCUGGUAUUUGAUAAAAUUUAUAAAGACUUUUUGCUAUUAUUCUAGUUUUUUGAUAAUGCUGUUUUAUUUCUACUUCUAUUCAGAUUUGAUUGUUAACAGGUAUCAUUGGAAUAUUUAUCAUUAAUGGUUAAAUUAGUUCACAUAAAGUGCUUAGACCAGUGCCCUGUGCAGUGUUCCAAAACUGCCAGCUGGAUAGUGGUAUAAUAGAAGAAUGCGUGUGCUGUAUGUUUGACAGUUUUAGUUCUUUUUAACCUAAGGAAUAAUUCUUUGUAUGUUGUUGCUUAUGUAGUUCAGUUUAUAGAUAUCACCUUUUUGAGGUACAGUCUAAUUCUCCAAGUCUGUAAUGUCCUCAAGAAUAUAGUAACCCUUUCUUUUUAUAGUAUGAUCUUUUAAAAAAUACUCAUGUAUCAAGCAUUUGAGUCCCUGUUAGUUGGUGAGUGAGCAGACUACUUAUCCAGUACUCAAGUGACCCUCUGGCACAGCAAAACUAAGACAAAAACAAACGAAAAUUGCGCGCCAUCUAUGAUGCAUUUGAACGCUUCCUCCGUAAAUACGCUAACUAAUGGGAUCACGUAUGUAACCAGUGCAGCCAUCAUGUUUCUUAUGGAAGGAGUUUGAUCCUUUGAUGAGGUGAAGAACAAGCAGACAGCACUAUAUAUCUAAUUGCUGUCAAUUUAGUCUGGAAUUCAGUGUUACAGAUCAGUCAACUAUAAUCUUUAAAUACAUCUGAAUAAUUGUAAACCAAUAUUUGGAUGAAAUAAUGCUGAACUAUUUUGUACUAUUUGUGGGAAUCCCAUAAAAUCAAUAUCUAGUCUGUUGUUACUAUUUAUGUAAACUUUACAUUUUAAAUUAUGAAUAAUUUAUUAAUUUAAAACAAAUUUAUUCAUAGAAACCCUAUUGGUUUUUAAAGAACUGCUAAGUCAAACUUAGUUUGUAAUAUGUCACCCUAUAUUGUAUAUAUGACCUUACAUGACAUUUCUAUUAUUGAUUUGAUUCGAGAAGCAUGUUUAUUUCUUUUACGGAUCUACAGUGAAUUUAUAAUCUUAUUUUCAACUUUAAUUUUCUGCCAUGGAUACUUACCAUGUGUAAAAUCAGUUUUAACUUUGAAUACUAAAAAAUCCUUUUUGCUUUCUACUUAAGUACUUUUAAUAAUUAAAUUGAAUGUGAGAAUGCAGAUAAGAUGCAUAAGACUUGGCUAAACUUUAAAACUUUGCCAAAUAUUAGGUUAGAAAAAAGUGCCAAACAUUUUUCCCCUACUUGAAAAGAUUCAAUUCAUGAACACUGAAAUAAUGAAAGACCUAUUGCGUUAAUUAAUAACUGUUUCUUAACAUUUUCUUGUAUACAUACUCUGAAUUUGCUAAACAUCUAACUUUAGGCCAAGUACUUAACAGCUUUGGUUUUUUAAUUUCAGAAAUUAAUGGCCACAUAUGAAAUUGAUCUGUCCGUAUAAACUUUAUUUUACGGAAAAGAUAUAAUAACUAGUACUUUUUAAAAAUAUUAUAUGGCUACACUUGGUGCUUUCUUUUUAUUUUAUUUUACUUUUAAACUUUUUUGGCUGCACUGCACGGCCUGUGGGAUCUUAGUUCCCCAACCAGGGAUUGAACCCGGGCCCUCAGCGAGAGUGCAGAGUCCUAACCACUGGACCGCCAGGGAAUUCCUGGUGCUUUCUUUUUAUGUUAAACUUCUCAAGCCAAGAACUAAAAUGUUUUUAAAAGUAGAAAAUAUUUGGGGUUUAGAAAAAAUAUAUUUGAGUUUUAUUUUUUUGAAAUAUGUGUUGUCUGUGGGUUAUUUUAAAAUAUGUAUUCCUAGUCUAGUAAGGAUAUUUGAAUUAUAAGAUGCCUUUGUAGCUUUUUAAAGGAGAUUUUAUUUGGCCCUCUAAUGCCUCCAUCACCUUAAUUUUUAAAAACUAUUUUUAAAUGAUUAAUGUGAAGUCACUGAUGGCAUACAGUGUUGUAAAUUCUGUAAAACUACUUUGACAUAACAAACAAACAUAGUUACAGCCAUUUGAGCUAUAGCAAUUUUACAUGUUCAGAUUAGAACCUUUACUUUUCACUAAAAGUAUGAAAUCUACUAAAGUUCUCCAACAAAAUACCCUUUAAAGAUAAAGUAAACCUUGUUGUUAACUGAAUUACAAGUAUUUUCUUAUGUAUAUAGUGAGGUGAUUGCUUUCUGAGCAAUAGCUUUAGUGAAACCAGUACUUUAUUUUUCACAUAAAUAUUUCCUACUAAGCAAUAAUGUACUAUGGUAUGUAACUUUCUAUUGGUAAAAGAAUGAAAUUUCAUUUCAGUUUAAUUAAUUCUUAGGCAUAACUAAUUUCUCCCAAAUAAAUGUGAAAGAGGUGUUUUUAAAAUUUCUUCUCUUAUCCAGAUGUUCUAAGAAUAUAUGCACACAACUACCUAAAGAAGUGCUGUCUGCCAUUUUGAAGAUUGGGUACAUAAAUUGCUAGAAAUUCAUUUAGCCCAGAGUUGCAAACUGGCAAUCAGUACAGGACAGCUUGUCCCACAGUUGUUUUAUUCAGUGUGCAUAAUACCUCCAGCAAAAUUUUUGAAUUCGAGAAGUCUUUAGACUGUGUAUGCAUUCCCCAGUUUGCCAUAAUCCACCAGACUCCAAGCUCUUGUAUUAGACUACUUCACUACUUUGUGUUUCCCACUUAGCCCUGAAGACAUCUGAGCCUGACACCCCGACUUAGAUCUGUGGUUAAAAAACAUUUCUGAAUUUCAUGAUUUGAUAAUGUUGUAAGUACUAUUAAAUCAUUUUAGCAUAUGCAUUUUAGAUUGUUUCUUAUGAAUGUAAAUUUUAAGGUGGUGCUUUCUUUUAUAAAGAUUAUUGAAUUAUUGACUCUGUAACUGAAAUUUUAAAAAUAAUUUCCAAAUAUUUUUUACUUCACAAUAAAAGUCUUAAAAAUUA